rnacentral:rRNA from 1 species
GAUGAACGCUGGCGGCGUGCCUAAUACAUGCAAGUCGAGCGAAUGAAGAGGAGCUUGCUCCUCUGAUUUAGCGGCGGACGGGUGAGUAACACGUGGGUAAUCUGCCUGUAAGACGGGGAUAACUCCGGGAAACCGGGGCUAAUACCGGAUAAUAAGAAGAAACGCAUGUUUCUUUUUUGAAAGUCGGCUUCUGGCUGACACUUACAGAUGAGCCCGCGGCGCAUUAGCUAGUUGGUGAGGUAACGGCUCACCAAGGCGACGAUGCGUAGCCGACCUGAGAGGGUGAUCGGCCACACUGGGACUGAGACACGGCCCAGACUCCUACGGGAGGCAGCAGUAGGGAAUCUUCGGCAAUGGGCGAAAGCCUGACCGAGCAACGCCGCGUGAGCGAUGAAGGCCUUCGGGUCGUAAAGCUCUGUUGUUAGAGAAGAACAAGUACGAGAGUAACUGCUCGUACCUUGACGGUACCUAACCAGAAAGCCACGGCUAACUACGUGCCAGCCGCCGCGGUAA